CUGGUGGUAUAAGAUGGGCCGCGUCUGAUUAGCUAGUUGGUAAGGUAACGGCUUACCAAGGCGACGAUCAGUAGCCGACCUGAGAGGGUGAUCGGCCACAUUGGGACUGAGACACGGCCCAAACUCCUACGGGAGGCAGCAGUGGGGAAUAUUGCACAAUGGGGGAAACCCUGAUGCAGCGACGCCGCGUGACUGAAGAAGUAUUUCGGUAUGUAAAGGUCUAUCAGCAAGGAAGAAGAGAGACGGUACUUGACUAAGAAGCCCCGGCUAACUAC
rnacentral:rRNA from 1 species